rnacentral:rRNA from 1 species
CAGUAGCCGCGGGAAUACGGAGGGAGCUAGCGUUGUUCGGAAUUACUGGGCGUAAAGCGCGCGUAGGCGGUUACUCAAGUCAGAGGUGAAAGCCCGGGGCUCAACCCCGGAACUGCCUUUGAAACUAGGUGACUAGAAUCUUGGAGAGGUCAGUGGAAUUCCGAGUGUAGAGGUGAAAUUCGUAGAUAUUCGGAAGAACACCAGUGGCGAAGGCGACUGACUGGACAAGUAUUGACGCUGAGGUGCGAAAGCGUGGGGAGCAAACAGGAUUAGAUACCCCGGUAGUCCCUGUCUCUUAUAC